rnacentral:snRNA from 1 species
UCGCUAAUCGAUAUAUGGUUUUU